rnacentral:rRNA from 1 species
UACGUAGGGUGCAGGCGUUUAAUCGGAAUUACUGGGCGUAAAGCGUGCGCAGGCGGUUUCUUAAGUCAGAUGUGAAAUCCCCAGGCUUAACCUGGGAAUGGCCUUUGUGACUGCACGGCUAGAGUGUGUCAGAGGGGGGUAGAAUUCCACGUGUAGCAGUGAAAUGCGUAGAGAUGUGGAGGAAUACCGAUGGCGAAGGCAGCCCCCUGGGAUAACACUGACGCUCAUGCACGAAAGCGUGGGGAGCAAACAGG